CGGAUUCAACAGUGAAUACAGCAGUGUGGCCUCUGGAGAGGGUAAUGUGUUUACUAAAUCUUUUCCUUCUUCCCACACAUAACUAGACCAUAUUUCUCAGUUUUCCUUACAGCUAUAUGUGGUUACGUGAUUGAGCGCCAGCAAACAGAAAGUGAACAGAAGUACUGUCUGCAACUCUACAGACCAUAAAGCCCACGUAAGACAAGAAGACCAAGGGUGAGGAACUGAAAACUGUGACCUCAGUUCUUGCUGCUGUGCAUUAUCAACAUCAAAAGUAUCUUGGCUUGGAAGUCGAAUAAGAAAGAGGAGAAGGAGGAUAAAGAUAAGGUCGAGAAGCACAAAUAAGAAGAAAUAUCUCUGUGGUGACGCACAUCUGCGAAGGUGAAAGCCUAUUCCUCGGACUCAUAUACAGUGCCGUGAACCAACGUCACCUCAAGGAGAAAAAAAGAAUAUCUUGUCCAAACAAAGUGGGUCCGCAUCAGAAUGGAGAACAUUCUUCAAGCAAUA